GCAAGUCGAACGUGAGGGUAUAGCAAUAUGCCUGAAAGUGGCGAACGGGUGAGUAACACGUAGGUAACCUGCCGCGCAGAGGGGGAUAACCAUUGGAAACGGUGGCUAAUACCGCAUGGUACUAUCGAGAGGGGACCCUUGAUGGUUAAAACCUUGGUGCUGCGCGAGGGGCCUGCGUCCGAUUAGUUAGUUGGUGAGGUAAUGGCUCACCAAGGCGAUGAUCGGUAGCUGGUCUGAGAGGAUGAUCAGUCACACGGGAACUGAGACACGGUCCCGACUCCUACGGGGGGCAGCAGUGAGGAAUAUUGCACAAUGGACGCAAGUCUGAUGCAGCAACGCCGCGUGGAGGAUGAAGGUCUUUGGAUUGUAAACUCCUUUUUCAGGGAAGAGUGAGGACGGUACCUGAAGAAUAAGUCACGGCUAACUACGUGCCAGCAGCCGCGGUAAUACGUAGGUGGCAAGCGUUAUCCGGAAUUACUGGGCGUAAAGCGCACGCAGGCGGCUAGUCAAGUUCGACGUGAAAGCUCCCGGCUUAACUGGGAGAGGUCGUUGAAAACUGGUUAGCUUGAGGCAAUGAGAGGGGUGUAGAAUUC
rnacentral:rRNA from 1 species